AGAGAAUCACCGUGACUCAGGGGAGAAGGAUGGGACAUAAGAGCUGCAGGAGAGAAAGCUGAUCGGCCAUGUAAGAAUUUGGCAUGGUCUCUACAUGGCAGUGACCAAGUGAAGCUGGGUGAGAGGAAGGAAGACUGAGAGUAACACAAAGACUCUGUCUACAGUCAACACCAACUGAGCAUUUGUGUAUCGGUUCUCUGCAUUAGUGUGCGUAUUUACAUGAUUUCCUUUGAACCCACAACAGCUCCAAGGAGUCAGCACUUCUGUUAUCUCUAUUUCCUGUCAAGAAAACCAGAGCUUGAAAGGAUUUGCCCAUGGCUUCUAGGUAGGAAUACCCACGCUGACAGCAAAACCCAUGCUGGCUUGCCCGCAGGCUGGCAGAUCUCAGCAUCAUGCCAUAAACGACAGAAGACCCAUAAAGCUCUGAUACAUCUAUAUUUAACAUGAACUACAAAUAAUGAGAGACUUAUGGUGGUCCACAGAUAGAAACUUACUAUGGUAGCAGCAUGCAGCUGUUAGGUUUAACUUAGCACAUUCAACAAAGUGGAAAUCAAGGAAAACAUUUCCCAUCACGGUUGAUCACCGUUGGACUUUGAAGGGCUGUACGUCUUAGCUAUGCUUCUAGACAAAUAAAGGAUCCUCCUAUGGCUGGAUAGUCACUUUGCACUGCUGUUAUAAAAACACUAUUACCAAGGCGACUUAUAGAAAGAAGAUGGCUUAAGUUUCCCGGGGAAAGUCUGUAACAUCAGAAAGGCAUGGCUGUAGUCAUCUAGAACCACACACAAACUCAGAGAGAAACUACAUGUCGGGCAAGGUCAUAAGCUGUCAAAGCUCUCCCCACCAAGGGACGUGCUUCCUCCAGCAAUGCUGAACCUCCCCAGACACCACCACCAACUGGAGAUCAAGUGUUCAAAUAUCUGAGCUUUGCGGGGACAUUUCUCAUUUGAAACCCCCUCCCCAGAAGAGUCAUUCAGGAUGCCUUACAGUUUACAGGACAUGCUGUAAUCAAAGUAACUAUUAAAUGUUCCCAAGAUUUCUGAGACUUGCAAAGGACAUUUAAUAAAUAAAAAAAUGUACAGUGAAAUAAAAAAACAAUUAAGAAAAA
rnacentral:lncRNA from 1 species